UGGGUUGUAAAAUAAAUGAAAAAUUUAAUUAAUAAAAAACUGAAAAAGAAUCAGGUGGCUGUAGGUGCAUGUACUUAUAUCUGGGUCUUUAGUUCUAUUUCCACUGGUAAAUUUGCCCGUUUAUGCGUCAGGUACAAUACUGUUUUCAUUGCUGUGGCUCUGUAAUCUUUGAAAUCAGGCAUGGCAAUACUUGCAGCAGCAUGUGUAUUGCUCAGGAUUCUUUGUGCUACUCAUAUGAGAUUCAAGAUUGUAUUUUCAGUAUCCAUGAACAAUUCCUCUGGGAUUUUGGUGGAGAUUACAUUGAGUCUGUAGAUUGCUUUUGAUAGGAUGGCCAGUUUGUUUUACAGUAUUCAUCCUAUUAAUCCACUUGCAUGGAGGUCUCUCCAGCUUCUGGUGUCUUCUUUAAGUUCUUCAUUGUUUUAAAGUUUUCAUUUUAUAGGUCUUUCAUUUCCUUGAUGUAUUAGUUACUUUUCUGUUGCUAUGAUAAAAUACUAUUCCCAAAAGUGACUUAUGGAAGAAAGAAUUUAUGUUGGGUUUAUGGUUCCAGAGGGAUAAAGAGUCCAUCAUGGCAGGAAGGCAUAGCAGCAUCAGGCAUCAGGCAGCAUCAGGCAGCAUCAGGCAGCUGGAGCAGGAAGCUGAGAGCUCUCGUCCUAGCUAUAAGCAAGAAGCAGAGAGAACAGUUAGGAAGUAGGGCAAGGCUUUAAGCUCUCAAAACCUUCCCAUAGUGACACAGUUCCUCCAGCAAGGCCAUACUUCUUCAACCUCCCUAAACAGUGUCACCAACUGGAACCAAGUAUUCAAAUAUCAGAGCCUGUGGGGGACGUUUCUUACUUAAACAAGCACAGUUGGUUAGGUUUCUUCCAUGGUAUUUUAUUUAUUUAAGUUUAAGGAUAUUGGGAAGGUAUAUUUGUCUUUGGUAUAUAUAGCAAGGACAUUGAUUUAUGUAUGUUGAUUUUUGUGACCUGCCACCUUGCUGAAAGUGUUUAUCAGAUCUAGGGGAGUCUUUGGGGUCUUUCAGUUACAGAAAAAUUAUAUGCAAAUAGGGGUACUUUGACUUCUCAAUUCCUUCUCUUAUCUUAAUGCUCUAGCUAGUACUUUAAGAACUAUAUCAAAUUGGAGUGGGGAACAUGGAUACCCUUGUUUUGUUCUGAUUUCAGUGGAACUUAACUCCAGCUUUUAUCCAUUUAGCUUUGUAAUGAAUAGCCUAUUAUGUUGAGAUACAUUCCCUUCACCCUAGUCUCUCUAGGGUAUUUUUAUUAAUCAUGAAUAGGUAUUAGUUUUUGUCAAAGAUCUUUUCUGUAUCAACUGAAACCAUCAUGUAUAUGUAUACAUAUAUGUUACUAUGUAUUUUAUGUAAUUUUAGGUAAAUACAACAUAAUAUGAUUCAUUACUAAUUUUUCAAAUUAUUUGUUCCCCCUCGUUCUGUAUUAUUCUUCCUCCUCCUUCUCCAUUUAAAAGUCGACUCCUUGUUUUUCCCAUUUUGCUCUUCAGAGCACUCAUAGCCUACUAUUUCCCUCUCUAGUGAUUGUCCUCCACCACAUGGUGCUUUUUUAAAUUCCUGGUUACUGCAAUGUUACUCAAGGUUACAUAUUCACAUCUGAAGAUUUGGGGCUAGGAACCAUAGAUGACAGACAACAUACAGUCUGUGUCUUUCUGGUCUGAGUUACUCUACUCAAUAUAGUAUUUUAUAGUUCCAUUUCCAUGCAAAUUUCUUGAUUUCAUUGCAUACAUUUUCAUUAUUCAUUCAUCAGUUACAGACAUUUAAGAUUUCCUAGCGAUCUUAGUUUGGGUUGCUAUUGCUGUGAAUAGACACCAUGACCACAGCAACUCUCUUUUUUGUUUGUUUGUUUGUUUUGUUUUUGUUUUUUUGAGACAGGGUUUCUCUGUGUAUUUUUGGUGCCUGUCCUGGAACUCACUCUGUAGACUAGGCUGGCCUCAAACUCACAGAGAUCCACCUAACUCUGCCUUCCGAGUGCUGGGAUUAAAGGUGUGCAUUACUACCGCCCGGCUCCACAGCAACUCUUAUAAAGGAAAACAUUUAAUUGGGGCUGGCUUACAGUUUCAGAGAUUUAGUCCAUUAUCUUCAUGGUGGUAUGCAGGCAGACAUGGUGCUGGAGAAGGAGCUGAGAGUUCUACAUCUUGAUCCACAGGGAGCAGAAUCAAUUGUGUCCUACAUUGGGUGCAGCAGAAUCAGCUAUGCCCUACACUGGGCGUAGCUUGAGCAUAGCAUAGCAGACCUCAAAGCCCACCUCCACAGUAACACACUUCCUCCAACAAGGACAUACCUAUUCCAACAAGGCCACACCUCCUCAUAGUACCACUCCCUUUGGGCCAAGCAUUCAAACACAUGAGUCUAUGGGGGCCAUACCUAUUCAUACCACCACACUAGCUUUUGUGAAUAGAGUGGCAGUGAACACUACUGAGCAAGCGUUGUGGAACAGGACGUUUUUGGACAUGUGCCAAGGAGUACUAUAGUUGUGUAAUAUGUUAGACUUAUUCCUAGAUUAGUGAGAAUUCUUAAAACUCUUUCCAGAGUGGCUCUACCAGUUUUGAAUCCCCCCAACAGUGAAUGAGGGUUCCCUUUUCUCAAAUUACUCAACAGUAUUUGUUGGUGGUUGUUUUGCUGAUCUUAGCCAUUCUGACUGGUGUAAGAUGAAAUCUUAGAGUUGUAAUUGAAUUCCUCUAAUUGCUAAGAUUAUGAACAUUUUACAGCCAUUUUUAUUUCUUUUGAGAAUUCCGUUCAGGUCCAUAAUCUAUUUUAAUUGGUCAUUUGUUUUCAUGACUCUUUAUUUUUAAGUUCUUUGUAUAUUUGGGAUAGUAAUCCUCUGUCAGAUGUCUAGCUGGCCAAGAUUCUCACCUACUCUGUGAGUUUCUUCUUCACCCAAUUGGUUGUUCUCAUGGCUGUACAGAACCUCUUUAGUUUUAUGAGGUGCCACUUGUCAAUUUUUGGCCUUAUUUCUGGGCAAAGUGAGUCCUUUUCAGAAAGUCAUUUCUUACACCUAUCUCAUGAAGGAUACUCGCCGAAUUUUCCUCUCUAAGUUUCAAUAUUUUGGGUUUCACAUUGAGUUCUUUGGUUUACUUGGAGCUCUUUUUUUUUCUUUGAGCAGGGUGAUUUAAACGAGUCUAGUUUCACUCUUCUACAGGUUUUCCCCGCACCAUUGUUGAAGAUGCUGCCUUUUGUCCAGUGUGUGUUUUGGCGUCUUGGUUGGAAUGGAGAUGUGACAGCUGUCUAGGGGAUUACUGAAUUUGCUCCCUGACAUGAACAAAGAAUUGAAUGACUAGGAAAGACAGAAGACAAAGCCACAGAAAAGGGGAAAACAGCAGCUUUAUCCUGUCAGGAUGGCAGAAGCCUAAGGCUAGAAGUCCACUAAACCGAGGCUGAAUUGGGUACUUUAUAGGGCCCUUGGUUCCUCUUCUUUCCCCUACUGGUCCUGUCUAGAUACCUGCCAUUUUUCCUCACAGAGUCUUCUGGGAACCAAAAGCAGCCAUCUUAUAGAGCCUGCUUUGUUUUCCUUGUUUACCUAUGUCCCUCUGACUUUGCUCAAUAUCCUGUGGUGGUUUGAAUAAGAAUGGCCUCCAUAAGGUCAUAUAUUUGAAUGCUUAAUCACCAGGGAGUGACACUAUUCAAAAGGAUUAUAAGGAUUAGGAAGUGUGGCCUUGUUAAAGAAAGUGUGUCACCGAGGGUGGGCAUUUAGGUUUCAAAGGCCCAUGCCAGGCCCAGUGUCUCUCUUUCUGCCUACAGAUAAGGAUAUUGCUCUCAGGUACUGCUCCAGUGCCUCUCUGCUUGCUGUCAUGUUCCCUGCCAUGGUGAUAAUGGAUUAAACCUCUGAAACAAUAAGCAAGCUCCCAAUUAAAUGCUUUCUCUUAUAAGAGUUCUCUUAUAAGCCCUGGUCAUGGUAUCUCUUCAUAGCAAUAGAACAGUGACUAAGACAUACCCCCCUCUCAGAGAUUGAUACUGACUGCUGUUGGAGGAGUGAGUGUUGACUGCUCUACUUACUUUCUGCUCAGAGGAAGUGGAAUCUAGAGGUGUCAAUUCAAAUGAUGGGUGGUCCAGAGUGCUGUGGCCAGAUUCUAGAGGGCAGUGUAUCAGGGACUCUAUCUACAGGACCUUCUGUAGUAGGUAUGUGCUAUAAAUAGUUUUGAGUGAAGUUAUGUCACUUGGGGUACUUACUAAUGCUUCCUUGAAGAGCCAUAGACUGUCUAACAAUGCCCCCCCCCAAGUACCAAGCCUGAGAAACUUCCUUUCCUGUUGUUGGUCAGAGGAGUCCAAGAGACUCCCAAAACAAUAUAGGCUAUUGCUAUUGCCUUUGCUCCCAGAAGUUGAAGAUAAAUCCCUAGUGUUGAUGACAUCUUGCUCUUCAGACACAGGACUUGGAGGAUUUGAGCUGAACCUGACCUGAAAGCAUCUUCCCUGAGGACUAGCUUUCAUAGUGAUGCAAGCUGCUGAAAGAAGGAAAGAAGGAAGCAAUCAGUAGUCCUACCAGUCUGUGAGGCCUGUGACAAAAACAUGACCAGUAUUGUUAAGGUAUCUAUAAACAUACAAUGGUGACACUCAUAUUCUGGUGGCAACCAGCUCUUGUCUAAUUGGACUUACAGCCCUCCUAAACAGUGGAGAAAUCAUGCCUAGUACUGUAAACCCAGCCAACUACCUGUUGCUAAUGAGGUCAUGGAUCUUCAAGGAGAACCUAUUGAUGCCAUGCCUGAUAACAGUAAUUAACCUAACUGCAUUCUAAAUAUUUGCCCUUAUACCCACAGAUAAAUAUAGCUCUCAUCCCUCAUUAAAGAAGUUUCUCUUUGCAAAAGACAAGACAAUUACAGAAAACUACAACUGGUGAAAAUGCAGAGAACAACUGAUUGUAGGAUGCCCAACCCAAAUUGGUACAUCUGCCACACAACCCCCAACUCUGAAGUUCAUGGAACAUCAUAGAGGGGAUGGAAAGAUUUCAAGAGCCAGAGGACCAAUAAGUUUGCUGUGGGAUUGUGUCUACUAGAAAUGACAGAGAAUGAUACCCAUGAUACCUCAAAAAUAUGGCUGCCAAUGGACCUGAAUAAUGACCACACCAAUAGGCAUGCUUACUUUGAAGGGGGAAAUCUCAUAGGACCCGUAGACAAAGAACUACAGGCAACUAAUGAUGACUGAAGAAGGGAUAAUUAGUCUUCCCCCAGGAAUGAGCCUCUAAAUUUGUUAUCCACAAGGGAUCAACCCUGAAAAUCAUAUACAUACAAGUAACAGUAAAUAGACUCAGAAGAUUGUAUUUAUAUAUUUAUGUAUAUGAAAGAAUAAUAAUAAAGAAAAAGAGGCCAUGAAUUUGAGAGAGAGUUAGGGGCAGACAUGAGAAAGAUUAGAGAGAGGAGGAGGAAAUGAUAUAAUUAUAUUUUAGAUUUUUUAAAAUUGGAAAAGAAAAGAAAAGAGCAUGGUAGAGAGAGAUGAGGCUGGACUCAUGACCCUUAUCUCUUGCACUACUCUCUGGUCUUCCUUAAUGGUGAGUCUACCCUGGAGUUAAAUAGUCCUUCUUUGUAUACCUACAUAUCUAGAACUUGUGUAGUUAUUGAUGUCUAUAAACAUACCAAUUUGUGUGUGUGAACUUUACCUAAAGGAACUAAGCAGGACAAAUGAAACAGAAUUCAGAAAAAAAUAUCUUAAGCAAUUUCAAUGAUUGAAUUGCCUCUUGUCUUUCCAUCCUUCCCCCUUCCCUUCCUUCCUGUCUUUUCCUCUGUUCAUUCAGCUCUUUCCCCCAGUCUCAAUUCCUUGUUGCCUUACUCUUUUCUUAGUGAUGUGAAAAUAGUUGUGUGGUUGUUCACCUGUUUUCUUCAUUACUAUCCUCUUGCCUAAAAGAUCUCUUGGGCCAAUGGGAUACUUUUAUGCCAAAUCCCUGUGACUUAAGAAAACUCACUGGCAGCAGUGUAGAAGUUUGCUGAAAUGUUUGCAUAUGGUGACUAUCCUGGCAUGUACUCAAGAGGGACUGGCUGGCUUUGGACAAGAUCCUGUUGCAUUUUCCCAGGGAUCAGCUGUGCAUCUUGACUGUCUCUUGAGAGCGUGUUGGAAUCAGGAAAGGUAUGAGCAUCAGUCUCUGCAAGGCUCAAAAUAUCUAAUGGAGAUCGUGCCUACAGAAAGCAGAUGUGCUCUACAGUGGCUGCUUACUGUUGCUCUCCUUGUCAAAAUGGACAUAGUAAUUUGGAGAUGGGGUCAUAGCUCUUGAGUGGGGUAUGUUCAUAUGUUUGAGGUGAGCAAGGACAUGUCUUUGAUCUACUAUAAAAUAGUCCAUUGAGCAGCAUGUGGCAGGUUAGAAGGUCGAGGUCAGUGCUUAGCUUUGUUGAGCUGUGCAACUGUCCUUAUCCCAUUUGAGGGAGCAGAGUCGGGUCACUAUGGGGAAGCACGUGUCCAGAAAAUAGGGUUUGCUGACCUCAUUUUGGGUAGUUAAAAGUGCCGCAUUAUUGCUGAAAUGACUUUGGCACAGCAGAGUGUGACUUUCUCUCUGAGUUCAGCCUUCUCUUCCACAUUAUGCUGCUGCUUUUGCUGCUGUAACAGCAGUGGUGAAGAAAGAGGUAAUAUUUGGCCUUCCAGUGGGAGCAGUAGUGGUACAGCAAUCGAAAGCAUAUUAGAAGACACUUUCUGAGGGCAAUUUUAGGUUAUUCUUAAAGAUACUCCCUAACAGAUUCAUGGUAUACGUUACUAUUUGACUUCUUUUGCUGCUGUAAUUAAGAAAAAUGUCUAGCAACAGGUAUACAAUGAUUUCAAACAGAAACCCUUUUGAUAGUACCAAACCAAAGUCAAAAAUGUCCUUCCUUCACUUGGAGCUUCUUUCUCCCCUUUAGUGUGUUCCCCCCUAGAGUAACAUGGCAUCAAACAGAUAGUUCCUUGGCAUCCAGGGAUUUUGUGCUCUGUUUUAUAUGUAUGCCCUGACUUCCCUAGAUGAUGGACUGCACGCUGUGAAAAGAAGUAAGCUGUUUCCUCCCAGGUCGCUUCCAGUCGUGGUGUUUUAUCACAGCAGUGCAGACCCUGAGAUUCCAGCCUGCACGGGACCUUCCAGCACUAUGAACACCAGCCAGCAGAGAGGAAACUUCCAGCUUAGGUCUAGCUUGAUCAGACAGAGACUAUUACAGAAAACAACAACCCAUCAAACUGCAGAGUUUUGGAGCCUGGUUCCAAUGGAUACAUCUACAAAGCAACUACAUCCAAGGCUCUGGGAAUAUUUCAGGAGAAGGGACAGAAUGAUUCUAGGAACUAGAGAUUCAGGGAACAAGCUGUGAGGCUGUCUCCUAGUAAUGCCAGAAGUUACCCAUAAUGUCUCAGCAAUGUCACUGCCCAAACAUGAGCUGAGCAAGGACACCAAUAGACAUGCCUGAUUGGACAGGGGCAAGCUGAACUAGGCCUCAGCCCUAGAAAAGCACAACAGCCAACUAAGGAAUACUGAGAGCUGGAGAAAGAGUCUUCCCCUGAGAAGAGUAGCAAUUGUUAAUCCUGUACCAAAUGAUCAGUCCUGGAAACAUACAUACAAGUAACAUGAUAAAGACUGAGCAGGUUGUAUUUAGAAAUUCAUAUAUAUAUAUAUAUAUAUAUAUAUAUAUAUAUAUAUAUAUAUAUACACACACACACACACAUAUAUGUAUAUAAUAUAUAUACAUAUAUACGUGUCUAUUAUAUAUACAUAUAUAUAAAUAUAUAAUAUAUAUACACACACAUAUAUAAAAACACAUACACAGAUGCGUGGAAAAACAGUUAAUGAAAAAUGCCAUUAAUUUGAAAGAGAGCAGGGAGGGGUAUAUGUGAGUCUUUGGAGGGAGGAAAGGAAAGGAAGGAAAGAUGUAAUUAUAAUAGCAAAAAAAAUUACAUUUUUUAGUUUCCUUCUCAAUUGACUAACUCUCUGCAUGGCUGUUGCCUAUGUCCUAAGUUUUAGUUGACCUUUUCCCAUAACCCCAUUGCCCAUAGCACCAUCCCCGUUUAAGCCAUUUUAGCCCGAGAGUCCCCCCUCCCAACUCCACUCUCAUGUCACAUGCAUUUUACUGUCCCUUCCCUCAAGACCUCCUCUCGUGGCUCCUUUCCUGAUCCCUGACUUCUGCAGACACUAACUCCUAUUUAAACACAGAAAUGGAAAACUAAGAAGCUAGGGUCCACAUGCCAGAGAAUGUAUGCGGCUUCUGUGGCUAUUUUGACAGAGGUGCCAAAAGCAUACAUUGGAGAGCAGGCAGCCAUCCUCAUUGACACACAGUCCUGGAAAACUAGAUAUGCACGUUUAGAAGACUAAAACUGCAUCCCUAUCUUCCAUCCUGAAGAAAAAUCAGCUCCAACUGGAUCAAAGACCUUCAUAUGAGACCUGAAAUUCUGAACAUGCCAGAGGGAAACAUAGGGGAAAUUCCUCAGGAGAAGGGUAUGUAUAGCCAAGAACCUUCUUAAAAGGUUCAGUAGCUCAGGAAAUGGGCUUCAUAUUUGGCAGAUGGGAUCAUGAGGCAUUAACAACAUUCUCCACAGCAAAAGCGAGCAAAUUGCUGGAGUGAAGAGACAGCACUCAGAACAGGUAAAAAAUAUUUACUACAUAUCCAUCAGGCAGAAAAUUAAUGAAUAAAUAGAUUCCAACAACUACAAGAGAACGAAACAAGUCAAAAAUCAGUGAUUAAAACAAACACAUUUCUCAUGCAUACUAUACGACAUGCAUGUCAACAAGAGGGAGACUGUGAUAAGAAUAAGGAGACUAGUAGGUGGGAAGAAUGAAAUGAGGAGAAAAAAGAGUGUAUGAGGUUGAAAGUGGCUAAGGUACACUUUGUAUUGGAACAUGAAGAGUAUUAGACGCAUUGCUAUUUGCAGGGUGUGUACAGCAUUAAAACAUGGGUGAAUAAGUCUGGCCCACCUCCUGAGGCCAUGUUGAUGUCCAAGAGCCGUGCUGCAGCUGUGCCGUGCUGCUCUGGGUGGCCUGCACUGCCACCUGGGGCCAUGGUGACCUCUGGGCACAGGCUGCUGCAGAGGGCCAUGUCUGGGUCCAUUCUCCUGCUGCAGCCAGAGUCUGUGUUAAAGUCCAUGGCCCAUUUCACCCCCAAAGGUGGCACCGAUGCCCAAGUGUGGGCUCCUAACUGUGGCUAUGUUGGUGCCCGAGGCCCAUGCCACUGCUGGGGCCAUGCUGAUCUGGGUGUCCUGAGCUGCUACUCAGGACCAUGGUGAAGUCUGGGCCUGAGCUGCUGCCAAGGACCAUGUCUGGAUCCGGGGCCCUGAAGCAGCCAGGGCCUAAGUUGAUGUCCGUGGAUGGCUUCAGUUGCCACAGAAAUCCAUACAGAUUCCCAGGGUCCAAAGCACCACCUGAGGUCAUGUUGGUCUCUGAGGACCAUGCUGCAGAUGGGGCCAUACAGAUCUUAGUGGGAUGCCCUGCUACCCAGUGCCCUGGUGACAACUGGUUAGGGCUUCAACUGAGGGCCAUGUCUGGGUCCGUGGCCUUAAUGUGGCCAGUUGCUGUGUUGAUGUCCUGGCUCCUGUUACCAUCAAAGGUCAUGUAGAUGCCAGGAGUCUGGGCCACCACCUGGGGACUUAUUGGUGUUGGAGGGCGAUCUGAGUGGCCUGGGCUGCUACCUGGGGACAUGGUGGCAUCUAGGCCCCUCUGCUGCUGAGGACCAUGUCUGGGUCCUAAGUCUAAAACAGGCAGGGGUCUGUGUUGAAGUCACUGGCCUGUGUUACCACCAAAGGACAUAUAGAAGGUCAGAGUCUGAGCCACAAAACUGUGGCUUUGAUGGUGUCUGAGGGCUGUGCCACUGCAGGAGCCAUGCUGAUCUGAGUAGCCUGUGCUGCCAAGCAGGGCCAUGAUGUUGUCUAGGUCUGAGCUGCAGAGGGCCCUGUCUGGAUUCGUGGUCCUGCUGCAACUGGGAUCUGUGUUGAUAUCUGUGGCCUGUGUUUCCACAGGGGGCCGUAUAAGAACCAUGCAUGAUGGAACCCAAGGGUCAGGCUGAGCCAGCCCUGCCCUAAGCUGGCCCUGCCCUCUCUGGACACCGCAGCAAAGAGCUGGCCCCAGCACUUGGGAGAGAUGGCCCUACCGCUCGCUCACCAUGGGUGUGGGAAAGCUGGCCCUCACAGCAUGGGCAUGAGAGCUGGCUCUGCUGCACACCUGAAUGGGGCAGCCCCAGGGGCCAGGUCUGACCAGUUCAACUACCACCCAGGCCCACAUCCAGGGCUUUGGGUUGGCCCACCCUAACAUCCACCCCAUCUCUGACCUGCCAGAGCACGUGAAGGGAUUGGUCCUGUGGAACAUUAAGCACAGCAUGUCCAUGACUCGGGGUGCCCUCCUGAAAACCAAGAAGCACUUCAGAGAGGGUCUAGUGAUGAAUGUGUACCAGAAACCAGAAGUCUUGAACCAGACCAUUGCAAUGAACAUUUGCAAAUAAAGCUGAUAGGACAACAGGGUAUACUGCGUGACACACUGAGGCUCCCACUGCCACCAAGACAAGUGAAGAGGUGUUGGAGAGGCAGAGAAUACAGAGGAGCAAAGUGCUUUUGUUUACUUAUUUAAUCUCCUGACCAUGGAUGUUAACAAAAUGGCUGGCCUCCCACGGAUAUCCACUUGUAGUAAGACAACACCUUGCCUUGUGUUAAGGCUGUUCAAGGCAGCCCAGUAUGAGGAGUAGGGUCCCCCAAGCCUGUAAGAGUCAGAGACAGCUCCUGCCCCACUGUUAGUCCACAAGAACACGAAGGUACACAACUGUCACAUAUGUACAGAGAGCCUGGGUCACUCCCAUGCAGGCUCCCUGGUUGUUGGUUCAGACUCUGUGAGUUCCUGGGAGCCAGGUGAGUUGAUUCUGUGGGUUUUCUCAUGAUGUCUCUGACCCCUGUGUCUCCUACAAUCCUUCCCCGCUCUCUUCAGCAGGAUUCCCUGAGCUCAGCCUAAUGUUCGGCUGUGGGUCUCUGGGUCUGCUUCCACCAGGUGCUGGAUGAAGCCUCUCUGAUGACUAUUGACUAGACACCAAUCUAUGAGUGUAGCAGGAUAUCCUUAGGCAGCAUUACAUUGACAUUUUUUCUUCCACUCAUGUAUGGUUCUAUCCUAGGUCUCUGGGCUGUCCAGCCGCUGGAUUCUGGCACUCCAGGCAGUGUCAGGGGUGGGCUCACUCUCGUGACAUUGUUUGUUUGGUUUGGUGUUAAUUUUCUUUUUUAAUUUACUUUUGAGUAGGGGAUGAUAAAAUGGUGAAGGGAUAAAGUGGAUAUCGUGAGACUGAGAAAUGAGUGGAAUUGGGGUGGAUGAUGUGAAAUUCCCAAAGAAUCAAUCAGGAAAGGCUGUGUAAAAAGAGAAAACAGGGCGGUGGUGGCGCAUGCCUUUAAUCCCAGCACUUGAGAGGCAGGGCCAGGCGGAUCUCUGUGAGUUCGAGGCCAGCCUGGGUUACCAAGUGAGUUCCAGGAAAGGCACAAAGCUACACAGAGAAACCCUGUCUCCAGAAAACAAAAAACAAAACAAAACAACAACCCAAACUAACAAACAAAGAACAAACCAAAAGAAAACACCAGCUCUGGGGGGAGCCCUCAACUUGAUCCCAGGAGGUACAAUAUAAACAAACUGUGAAUGUGAAAAAUGUACAGAACAUGGGUGAAUAGGGCUGGAGACAUGGCUCAGAGGUUAAGGGCAUCUUGUUCUCUUGCAAAGCACCAAGUUUUAUUCCCAGCACCACAAGACAGCUCACAACUAUCUGUAACUCCAGUUCCAGGGAUCUGACCGCCUCUUCUGGCCUCUGAUGCUACAGGCACUCAUGAAUUGCACAUACCUACACGGGGGCAAACAGUCACACGUACAAAAAUAAAAAUCAAUAAAUCAGUAAAACAUGA